rnacentral:rRNA from 1 species
UACGGGGGGAGCAAGCGUUGUUCGGAUUUACUGGGCGUAAAGGGCGCGUAGGCGGCGCAACAAGUCACUUGUGAAAUCUCCGGGCUUAACCCGGAGCGGCCAAGUGAUACUGUCGUGCUAGAGUGCGGAAGGGGCUACUGGAAUUCUCGGUGUAGCGGUGAAAUGCGUAGAUAUCGAGAGGAACACCAGCGGCGAAGGCGGGUAGCUGGGCAGACACUGACGCUGAUGCGCGAAAGCCAGGGGAGCGAACGGG